rnacentral:rRNA from 1 species
AAUAGAUACCCCGGUAGUCCACGCCGUAAACGAUGAGUGCUGAGUGUUAGGGGGUUUCCGCCCCUUAGUGCUGCAGGCUAACGCAUUAAGCACUCCGCCUGGGGAGUACGGCCGCAAGGCUGAAACUCAAAGGAAUUGACGGGGGCCCGCACAAGCGGUGGAGCAUGUGGUUUAAUUCGAAGCAACGCGAAGAACCUUACCAGGUCUUGACAUCCUCUGACAACCCUAGAGAUAGGGCGUUCCCUUUCGGGGGACAGAGUGACAGGUGGUGCAUGGUUGUCGUCAGCUCGUGUCGUGAGAUGUUGGGUUAAGUCCCGCAACGAGCGCAACCCUUGAUCUUAGUUGCCAGCAUUUAGUUGGGCACUCUAAGGUGACUGCCGGUGACAAACCGGAGGAAGGUGGGGAUGACGUCAAAUCAUCAUGCCCCUUAUGACCUGGGCUACACACGUGCUACAAUGGAUGGUACAAAGGGCUGCCAAACCGCGAGGUUGAGCGAAUCCCAUAAAACCAUUCUCAGUUCGGAUUGCAGG